AACUUAUGCGUUUUCAAACUAAAACGCAUUAGUGUAAACAGGGCCUAAAGCUAAGCAGGGCUGAGCCUGGGCAGUAACUGGAUGGGAGACCACAUGGGAAAACUAGGUUGCUGUUG
rnacentral:rRNA from 1 species